CCUCCCCACUUCCAUAUUCACCACUUAGUGGAGAGUAGAGCCGAUUUACCCGAUGGCCUUACUAGUUCAAGAUGCUACAGCAUGUUUGAAAACCUCCACAUUUCAAUACCAGCCGAUCUAUCCUUUACUCUCUCGUCAAUCGGCUUUAACACAUGGUGGGGCAUGUGGAAAACUCAUGUAUUCAGAAGAGCUUUAGGCCCUCUUCAACAGCAAAUUGAUACUGAAUAUGCAAUCCCCGAGGAAGAGCAACAAGAUGGUCCGGAACCCAUGACCAGUAACGGGGAGCCAUUUUGCUUUAUUCCAACCGCCCCUGAUGUUCUUUUUUUGCAAGGGAUCACCGUCAAUAAAGAAAGUAAUAAUGACUGUUCAGCCAGGCUCAUCCCAGUCGGCUUCUAAGCGGAGACAAACCUCUGGAAGUGCUGCCCCCGAGUCCCGACUAAGAAGAGGAAGAUCAUCUCAAGACGAGUCACCAAGAAAACAGCACAAUCUUCCCCGAAAUCAUCAGAAUCCAACACCAACCAGGACGCAGCUGGAGACACUCUCAGUACUGGAGGCUCGGCACAACAGGAAACCACCGUUCAUGAAGCCGACACCGGGACAACUGAAACUCCCGAUACUCCGAUGGAGUUGCGUGACGAACAUGCUAACAUAGCUGAUACCCCAGUUGCUGCCUUAAACCCAACCGGACCGAUCGCACUCGGACCGAUCAUUGCUUCUUCCUCAGAACAGGGCUUCAACAUUUCAGACUUGCUCUCCUUCGGCCCAGCAUCAAUGGGUCUGAUCGUCCCUAGAGCGAAAGUACCGCCAUCACAGCAGCCGAUUGACCUCGCAGAUCAGCUUCAUCACAUCAAAAAUCUGCUAUCUGCUCCAAUCAGUGCCCUGAUUGAUGAUUCCAGUGAAAUAAAGAAAAUCCUCGAGCAGAUAGAAUCCCAACUCCUAAAGUCACUUCAGGUCAAGCUCUGGCCAGCCGGCCAUCUUCCCUUCUUUCGGGCAGAGGUGAAAGCAGCACAACAUAGAAUAGAGUUACGCCAUUCUCAAAUCCCUCUAAAAGCCGACCUCGCUCAAAAGUGCAAGAUGCUCAACCAGAAGAAAGCAACUCUGGACGCCAAAGCCGAUAUCUCCGCAAGUACAAGGCGACUCAAUCUCUUGGAGAAAGAACUGGUGGAACUCGAAGAAAAGGUCCG